rnacentral:rRNA from 1 species
GAGGGAGGGUGCUAGCGUUGUUCGGAAUUACUGGGCGUAAAGGGCGCGUAGGCGGCCUGGUCAGUCGGGUGUGAAAGCCCGGGGCUCAACCCCGGAACGGCACCCGAGACGGUCAGGCUGGAGACCGGGAGAGGAGGGUGGAAUAGCCAAUGUAGAGGUGAAAUUCGUAGAUAUUGGCUGGAACACCGGUAGCGAAAGCGGCUCUCUGGCCCGGUUUUGACGCUGAGGCGCGAAAGCGUGGGGAGCAAACAUG